AUAGUAUUAACAUUACACAUUACGGUUCUCGUUAGAUCACCGAAGUGAAGCAUCAUUGGGCGCGGUCAGUACUUGGGUGGGUGACCACCUGGGAACACCGCGUGCCGUU
rnacentral:rRNA from 1 species